GCUACAGGCUUAACACAUGCAAGUCGAGGGGCAUCAGGAAGAAAGCUUGCUUUCUUUGCUGGCGACCGGCGCACGGGUGAGUAACACGUAUCCAACCUGCCCUUUACUCGGGGAUAGCCUUUCGAAAGAAAGAUUAAUACCCGAUGGCAUAAUGAUUCCGCAUGGUUUCAUUAUUAAAGGAUUCCGGUAAAGGAUGGGGAUGCGUUCCAUUAGGUUGUUGGUGAGGUAACGGCUCACCAAGCCUUCGAUGGAUAGGGGUUCUGAGAGGAAGGUCCCCCACAUUGGAACUGAGACACGGUCCAAACUCCUACGGGAGGCAGCAGUGAGGAAUAUUGGUCAAUGGGCGCUAGCCUGAACCAGCCAAGUAGCGUGAAGGAUGAAGGCUCUAUGGGUCGUAAACUUCUUUUAUAUAAGAAUAAAGUGCAGUAUGUAUACUGUUUUGUAUGUAUUAUAUGAAUAAGGAUCGGCUAACUCCGUGCCAGCAGCCGCGGUAAUACGGAGGAUCCGAGCGUUAUCCGGAUUUAUUGGGUUUAAAGGGAGCGUAGGUGGACUGGUAAGUCAGUUGUGAAAGUUUGCGGCUCAACCGUAAAAUUGCAGUUGAUACUGUCAGUCUUGAGUACAGUAGAGGUGGGCGGAAUUCGUGGUGUAGCGGUGAAAUGCUUAGAUAUCACGAAGAACUCCGAUUGCGAAGGCAGCUCACUGGACUGCAACUGACACUGAUGCUCGAAAGUGUGGGUAUCAAACAGGAUUAGAUACCCUGGUAGUCCACACAGUAAACGAUGAAUACUCGCUGUUUGCGAUAUACAGUAAGCGGCCAAGCGAAAGCAUUAAGUAUUCCACCUGGGGAGUACGCCGGCAACGGUGAAACUCAAAGGAAUUGACGGGGGCCCGCACAAGCGGAGGAACAUGUGGUUUAAUUCGAUGAUACGCGAGGAACCUUACCCGGGCUUAAAUUGCAGUGGAAUGAUGUGGAAACAUGUCAGUGAGCAAUCACCGCUGUGAAGGUGCUGCAUGGUUGUCGUCAGCUCGUGCCGUGAGGUGUCGGCUUAAGUGCCAUAACGAGCGCAACCCUUAUCUUUAGUUACUAACAGGUUAUGCUGAGGACUCUAGAGAGACUGCCGUCGUAAGAUGUGAGGAAGGUGGGGAUGACGUCAAAUCAGCACGGCCCUUACGUCCGGGGCUACACACGUGUUACAAUGGGGGGUACAGAAGGCAGCUAGCGGGUGACCGUAUGCUAAUCCCAAAAGCCUCUCUCAGUUCGGAUCGAAGUCUGCAACCCGACUUCGUGAAGCUGGAUUCGCUAGUAAUCGCGCAUCAGCCACGGCGCGGUGAAUACGUUCCCGGGCCUUGUACACACCGCCCGUCAAGCCAUGGGAGCCGGGGGUACCUGAAGUACGUAACCGCAAGGAUCGUCCUAGGGUAAAACUGGUGACUGGGGCUAAGUCGUA
rnacentral:rRNA from 1 species